CAUAGGUCAGAGGCUGGAAGCGUUGUAGACAAAGGCCAGGUGUCCGUGGCACCUGAGGAAUGUCGCAGCUUCAUGUCUGGUCGCCCUUCACAGACUCCGGAGCAUGAUGAACAAAUGCAAGGGGCUAACCUGGGGCGAAAAGAUUUCUGGCGCAAGAUGUUCAAAUCUCAGAGUGCAGCAAGUGACACCAGCAGUCAGUCCGAGCAGGACACUUCCGAGUGCACCACGGCCCACUCAGGGAACACCUCAGACCGGCGCACCCGCUCACGGUCCCGCAGAAUUUCCCUCCGGAAGAAGCUCAAACUCCCCAUAGGAAACUGGCUGAAACGGUCAUCCCUCUCGGGCCUGGCAGAUGGUGUGGAAGACCUCCUGGACAUCAGCUCUGUGGACCGUCUAUCCUUCAUCAGACAAAGUUCCAAGGUCAAGUUUACCAGUGCUGUGAAGCUUUCUGAAGGUGGGCCUGGGAGUGGUAUGGAAAAUGGAAGGGAGGAGGAGGAGAAUUUCUUCAAGCGUCUUGGUUGUCACAGUUUCGAUGACCAUCUUUCUCCCAACCAAGAUGGCGGAAAAAGCAAAAAUGUGGUGAAUCUUGGCGCAAUCCGACAAGGCAUGAAACGCUUUCAGUUUCUGUUAAACUGCUGUGAGCCAGGAACUAUACCUGAUGCGUCCAUCCUAGCAGCUGCCUUGGAUCUGGAAGCCCCGGUAGUGGCCAGAGCAGCCUUGUUCCUGGAAUGCUCCCGCUUUGUCCACCGCUGCAACCGUGGCAACUGGCCCGAGUGGAUGAAAGGACACCACGUGAACAUCACCAAGAAGGGCCUGUCCCGGGGACGCUCCCCCAUCGUGGGAAACAAGCGGAACCAGAAGCUGCAGUGGAACGCUGCCAAGCUCUUCUACCAAUGGGGAGACGCAAUUGGCGUGCGGUUGAAUGAGCUGUGCCAUGGGGAGAGUGAGAGCCCAGCCAGCUUGCUGGGCCUCAUUUACGACGAGGAGACCAAGAGGAGACUGAGAAAGGAGGAUGAGGAGGAAGACUUUUUAGAUGACAGUACUGUGAACCCCUCUAAAUGUGGCUGCCCCUUUGCCUUGAAGAUGGCAGCGUGCCAGCUUCUCUUGGAGAUUACCACCUUCCUAAGGGAGACCUUUUCUUGCCUGCCCAGACCUCGCACUGAGCCUCUGGUGGACUUGGAGAGCUGCAGACUUCGUCUGGAUCCUGAGUUGGACCGACACAGAUAUGAGAGGAAGAUCAGCUUUGCGGGGGUCCUAGAUGAAAAUGAAGACUCCAAAGAUUCUCUCCAUAGCAGCAGCCACACCCUCAAAUCAGAUGCAGGUGUGGAGGAGAAGAAAGUUCCCAGCAGGAAGAUCAGGAUAGGAGGUACUCGCCUGCUCCAGAUUAAAGGAACCCGCAGUUUCCAGGUGAAGAAGGGGGGUUCCUUGUCCAGCAUUCGCCGGGUCGGCAGCUUAAAGAGCAGCAAGCUAUCACGGCAGGACUCAGAGUCUGAGGCUGAGGAGCUGCAGCUGUCCCAGAGCAGGGACACUGUCACUGAUCUAGGUAACAUAGAGGAGUGGGGUGUGCAGGGACGUGGGGGGUAGGAAGCCAGGACUGAGGUCCUGAAACAGCCAAAAGUCCCUUUCCUUACACAUGCAUAGAUGG
rnacentral:lncRNA from 1 species